UACGGGGGGGGGCAAGCGUUGUUCGGAAUUACUGGGCGUAAAGGGCUUGUAGGUGGCCAACUAAGUCAGACGUGAAAUCCCUCGGCUUAACCGGGGAACUGCGUCUGGUACUGGAUGGCUUGAGUGUGGGAGAGGGAUGCGGAAUUCCAGGUGUAGCGGUGAAAUGCGUAGAUAUCUGGAGGAACACCGGUGGCGAAGGCGGCAUCCUGGACCGGCAUUGACGCUGAGGCGCGAAAGCCAGGGGAGCAAAGCGGG
rnacentral:rRNA from 1 species